AAUAACAAGAAAGUAAAAUCAGUAAGAGACAGAAACGAAAAAAGGUCAGUUUUUUCAUUUUCUGAGACCGGAAGUGGUCAUCAGCAAGUGUGGAGCCAAACGACAACAAGAUUCUCAGAGGGCGGAGCCAGAGAGCAGCGAUUGGUCAGACCAUAGAUAAUAUAGAAGACAGCGCGCUAACGUGUGUAGUCUAUGUAUAUCUAUGGUCGGCACGUCUGGUAGCAUCUCUGGCUGCUGUUGACCUUGUUUUUGGACUAAAACACGGUGGAAGCUGAAUUAGUGAGGAUGACUCCUGCUCCUGUCAUCUCUAAGCUCCUCACACAUCUUUACCUGCACAUGAGGAAAAUCACUCCUGUAGAAUGCAGAUGUUCAGAGGGAGAUGAUGCCACAUCUGGUCCAGCUGAUGGAAGGUCUUGAAGUUCUCUGACUGGCCUCGACUGAAGAUGGUCGUCUCACUGGAUUUAAGGUUCAGAUGCUCAGUAACAAACUCCACCAAUGAGCCAACAGGGAAGCUUUAGGUUUAUUAAAUGUUGCUAUGAAGGUUUCGCUGUUUUUCUUUGUGAAUGCAAUGUGCUCCAACUGAAACUUGAAUUAGAACUUAGAAGUAAAUCCUUCCAUCUGAAAGGAUUUAGUUGCAUUAAUAACCUCAUAACAUUCUAAUUUUUAUUCCAGUCUUGGUUGGAAAUAGAAUCUCUGUAUUGAUUCAGGUAAAAACUGAACUUCACAGCAUGUUGGAGCAAAACAACCAGAUGAAAACUGUGAUGGUGUUGGAUUGUCAGACCGUAAUGUUGCAGCUCAAAGCAGCUUUUCUAGCUCAGUUCAUUCUGACAUUCAGCUAUGAAUCAACACAGCAGAUGGUGAUCCAUGCUGUGGAAGUCUCACAUCUCCUGAUUUAAUGGAGCUGCUUUGCACUUUUUACACUGUUUAUUCACCAACACUUUAUUUAAUAAAAGUCCCAUCUAGUUUUCAUGAGGAAUGUGAUGUUUUAAUUUCUCUGUGAAUAACUGCAGUCUAAUGCAACAGCUGGAGUUGUAACAUCUGUCCUGAUAUUGAUCAUGAAGUAUUGAUCAGAAUACUUAUGGUCAGCAGUCAUCCCUGAAGUUUUACAUUAAAAUCUUUACUUGUGUUGUGAACUUUGGUAAGAAGCAGAAACGUUAGCGUUGCCAUGGAUACAUGAGUGUUAAAUUCUGUCCAUGUUUCCAUUUUGGGAAAUGCAGUCCAGUUCCAGAAUGUGGAGGAAUUUAGUCUCACAAUCACAGACAACAAAUAUUAUCUGAAAGUCGAGUUAUUGUUGUUUAUCAGCACAAUACAAAAAGAUUAAUGUUAGAAAUAUUCCAGUUAAGACUCUAGAAUAUCAUGAUUUAUGUAAAUUUACCUCAAUAAUAUGAAUGUUCAGGUUAAGAUUGUACAGUGAUAUUUAUUAUGCAAGUUUAGCUGAUUAAAGUUUAUGACUCUGCACUAAAAUAUUAUUUAAAUUGACAUCAUUAUUAUAAUAUUUAGGGUCAGACCCUACAGUAUUGAGAUUAAGAAAUCAAAUAUUCUAUAAAAUGUAAAUACACUGAACUCAUUUGGAUAUAUUUAAGUGAGACUCUACAAUAUUAUUUGACACAAAUCUAUCUAAAUCAAAAUUUUAAUAAUUUUCACGCCAAACAUUUACUGGACUGAUUUAAAUAUUAAAAUCACUCCUUUCUAAUCCUCUGCUGUAUGUUCAAACCUGAGGCCUUAAAUAGAAACACACAAGUAUCUGUUUGAAGGAACUUCUGUAGAGUCCUGGUUCCAGAACAUGAUGAUAGAAUUAUAGACAAACUUUAACAAAAGCUGCCUGAGAGUUUACAGGUUUUUAUGUUGGAUUUCUUCAGUAAUUUAAUGAGCGUUAUCAGCAAUAAUCAAGUGUUCAUUUGAUGAACUUGAUUUCCUAAAACAUCCAGAAUUGGAGCUCAUAUCUUUGGCAGCUGUAAAGUUUCUGCUCCUUCAAAGUUCACAACACAAUGAAUGAAUUCCUAAAACACUCUCAAUGCUGGAGAGCGUUUGUGAUGCUGAAGCAGUGAUCAGUUUUUCUGUUUCUUCUCUGGAGAUGCACAAUGAGGGACGUCUGCAGAGACUGAGAAAGAGUCUCACCACAUCCUGACAUGAGGAAAAAGACUUUAUUGAAGACUACAAUGAGAAAAACUAUCAGACAGCAGACGGCUGCAUUCAAGUCUGUAGCUGCUGAAUUCAUGGAUGAAUCAUCUGGCACUAGAGAGGAAGACCAUCAAACAUCCACGUCAGCUGAUGGAGGUCCAAGAGUCUCACCGAACAACCAACCUACAGAGUGAAGACCUCAAAUCUGAUUGGACGGCCUCCUAUUCAGCCACAUGUGUGAACAAAUGCCUCUAAGUUGAUUUGUUUUCUAAAAUAAAUCUAGUUUGAGUCCUAAUCUAUGCCUGUGUGUUUGCUUCUUUACACCGCUGUUAACAGUUUAGGCUGUUAGAUUGUUCCAGAUAAGACAAGUACAAGAUUCUUCAGAGCCGUUCUACCACGAGCCUGACAGGAAGAACUCCAACAGCUACUGAAUGUUCCUGUGGUCCCCUCAAGGCUACAGGAGGAGCCCUACGAGGACGAGCCGGUCCACCUGAUGGUGGCCAGUCGCUGCGGUUCAAAGCCAACACCGACUACGUGGACUUCUACUGGACCACACGGAGGCCUUCAAACCGGACCAACAAGUUCACCGACUCCCCGACUCGUGGGUCUGAGGACGCCGCCGAGCCUCGGUCCAGCCGGCCUCCUGUCUGUGGGUGUUUGAGUGCUGAGAGGUUUGUGGAUGCAUGUGAACAUGUCUGUGUUGAAACAGCAGCUUUUGACUCACUAACGCCGGGAAAAACCAAGAGCUCCUUUAUUUGUGACUUCCACUAAAAAACUGAUGAAAAUAAGUUUGCCAGGGUUCUGACUGAUAACAGAUUAUUAAAUAAUGAAAAUAAUCAUUUAAAUAUUCCUUUAAACAAUCCUUUUAGGUCUACAUUUCCUUUACACUGACUUCUUGGUAUAUGUACAAGUAUUUUGGGUGGAAUAUACCAUUAAGCCCAAUGUUCAAGGGUUCUUCUGGGAAUAUACCAUUAAACCAACCUUUUAGGUAAAUGUUCCAGGAUGUUGGGUAGAAUAUACCAUCAGAUCAACCUUUUAGGUCUACAUUGGAAGAUUUUAGAGUAGAAUAUUACUCCAAACCAUCCUUUAGGUCUACAUUUAAGGUGGAAUAUUCCUCCAUACUAACUUUUUUGGUCUACAUUGAAGGAUUUUUUCUAAACCACCCUUUCGGGUCUAUAUUUGGGGUUUUAGGUGGAAUAUUCCUUUUAACCAGCCCCUCAGGUCUCUUUGAGGAUUUUGGAUGGAAUACUCGGUUAAACCAACAUUUUAGGUGCAUGUCCAAGGAUUUUUGGUGGAAUGUUCCUUUAAGGUGGAUGUUUGAGGACCUUGUAGGUGGAAUACUUCCUGAAACCAACCUUUUAGGUCAACAUUCAAAGAUUUAAGGUGGAAUAUUCCUUUAAACCAACCUAAAUUUCAUGUUUUGAUCAUUAUCAAGUGAGAAACCUCAAUCCAGACUCCUCAUAAUGACGUUUGAGAUUUAUGCUGCUGUUAUUUGUUUAGUCCAGACUAAAUGACAGAAAUCCACAACUGUAAUUUUAUUUCAGGACUCGGUUAUUAAAUGUCAAAACAAUCCAUGUGACUCUAAAAACUCAACAGCUGUACAAACUCUAAGAUUAAACUCUCCACAAGGAUCCAAAAUAAGUUGGACUUCUACAUGAGAGCUUUAAUUAUUCUUCAUCUACUUCCUGAAAAGUUUGGUCAAUAAAAAAGACAAAAACUAAUAUUUUCAGCUGAACUAAAGACAGACUUUGUGAUUUUUCUGCUCACAUGUUGUGUUGUUGUAAACUUACUCUUUCAAAUAAAUAGCCGCCUAACCCCCUGGAAACCAGCGUUUGUCCUGUUUUUGUGUUGCUCCUCGGCGACCCUAGACAGCCGGGUCGUAAUGUUUUUUGAGCAACACACCAUACUAUGACGUUUUUACAAUGAUGGUUCUACUAUGGAACCAGUUUGACAUGUUCAGGUGUUCUUUGUGUGAAAACUCAGAGAUUUCAGGUAUCAGAAGGUGGUUUUCAACUUUCUUUGUUAACUUUCUGCCUCAACUUUAAACUAAAUUUCCUUCACUAACCCAGCCCUCUGGACUUCCAGUAAGCUGUGUUCCUAUUGGCUGUCCAGGUGGCUGCUUGGUGUUAUCAGGAACACCUGAGCAGCUCAGUGUCUUCCUGCUUUAUUUAGCUGCAGACAAACAUUUCCUCUGCUUCUCUUCACCACUGAACUG